UUACUGGGCGUAAAGCGAGCGCAGACGGUUACUUAAGCAGGAUGUGAAAUCCCCGGGCUCAACCUGGGAACUGCGUUCUGAACUGGGUGACUAGAGUGUGUCAGAGGGAGGUAGAAUUCCACGUGUAGCAGUGAAAUGCGUAGAGAUGUGGAGGAAUACCGAAGGCGAAGGCAGCCCCUUGGGAAUGUACUGACGCUCAUGUGCGAAAGCGUGGGGAGCAAACAGGAUUAGAUACCCUGGUAGUCCACGCUGUAAACGAUGUCGAUUUGGGGGUUGAACUUUAAGUUUGGCGCCCGUAGCUAACGUGAUAAAUCGACCGCCUGGGGAGUACGGCCGCAAGGUUAAAACUCAAAUGAAUUGACGGGGGCCCGCACAAGCGGUGGAGCAUGUGGUUUAAUUCGAUGCAACGCGAAGAACCUUACCUGGUCUUGACAUAGUGAGAAUCCUACAGAGAUGUGGGAGUGCCUUCGGGAAUUCACAUACAGGUGCUGCAUGGCUGUCGUCAGCUCGUGUCGUGA
rnacentral:rRNA from 1 species